rnacentral:rRNA from 1 species
AGUGAACGCUGGCGGUAGGCCUAACACAUGCAAGUCGAACGGCAGCACAGUAAGAGCUUGCUCUUACGGGUGGCGAGUGGCGGACGGGUGCGGAAUACAUCGGAAUCUACUUUUUCGUGGGGGAUAACGUAGGGAAACUUACGCUAAUACCGCAUACGACCUACGGGUGAAAGCAGGGGAUCUUCGGACCUUGCGCGAUUGAAUGAGCCGAUGUCGGAUUAGCUAGUUGGCGGGGUAAAGGCCCACCAAGGCGACGAUCCGUAGCUGGUCUGAGAGGAUGAUCAGCCACACUGGAACUGAGACACGGUCCAGACUCCUACGGGAGGCAGCAGUGGGGAAUAUUGGACAAUGGGCGCAAGCCUGAUCCAGCCAUGCCGCGUGGGUGAAGAAGGUCUUCGGGUUGUAAAGCCCUUUUGGUGGGAAAGAAAAGCAGCAGGUUAAUACCCCGCUGUUCUGACGGUACCCAAAGAAUAAGCACCGGCUAACUUCGUG